rnacentral:lncRNA from 1 species
AUAAGGGGGCUGUUGUAAUUUCACAAGGCUUUUGGGUUACUUUUGCAUUUGUUUGAAUUUGAGGUACACUUUUGUAUUCAAAAUCAAGUUUUGAGUUAUUUUUUGCAAUUCCCCCUUAAAUUAAAGGGUUGUGGAAUAGCCAUAUUUGAGAGAUAAAUUAGUUAAGUAACAUUGAUUUUGAUAUAAUUCAAUGUCAUACAUUUAUUUGUAUCCCAUUUUAUCCGGUUAUGCCCCGUCGAUUAAAAGGUUUCCAGUUGCAAGUGAGAAAUUAGGUGACGUCUUUCUCUUGGUGAAGUCAUCCACGUAUACAUUUUUUAACCACAUACAUAUGCUCCGCGUAUUCUAUUCCAUAUCAUCGAAAUAAUAUAAGAUUAUAACCCCACCUACAACCUUUAAAUACUAAACAUAUCCCAAAUAUAGUUAUCCAUAAUCCCCCAUAACCCCUGAAUAUUACACCCUAAGCUCAAAUAAGUAAACCCUAAACCCAAGUCUAAACUCUAAACCCAAAUAUAAACCAUAAACCCAAACAGAAUGGAACAAAAUAAAUAACAUAGUACAUAAUGGUGAAAUUAUGAAAUCUAUGUGAUUGCAUGUAAGAAGUUAAUGAUGACCCCAAUCAUAUCCCUUCAUCUUCUAAAUACUAAACCCUAAUCUCUAAUCACUAAAUCCUAACCCAAAUAUGAACCCUAAAGCCAAAUAUCAAAAUCUAAAAAGUAUAUAUUAUUAUGUAAUAUUAAAUUAUAUUAUGUAAUAUUAAACUAUACAAUAUAGAUCAAAAUACAAUUUUUACAAAUACAUGUAAAGAUAGUUAGAAUUUAAGA